rnacentral:rRNA from 1 species
UACGGAGGGUGCGAGCGUUGUCCGGAAUCAUUGGGCGUAAAGGGCGCGUAGGUGGCCCGGUCAGUCUUUGGUGAAAGCGCGGGGCUCAACCCUGCGUCGGCCAGGGAUACUGCCGCGGCUCGAGCACUGUAGAGGCAGGCGGAAUUCCAGGUGUAGCGGUGGAAUGCGUAGAGAUCCGGAAGAACACCGGUGGCGAAGGCGGCCUGCUGGGCAGUUUGGCUGACACUGAGGCGCGACAGCGUGGGGAGCAAACAGG